GAAAUGCAGUAAUAGCUGGACGUAUCAGGGAAAAUGGGAAAACUGGUAUCAUUGAUCUUGCCAUCCACCGUCAACCUGCUGUUGCAAUUAAUGGUUAGUUCGGCUGUUGAAUAGUACAUCUUUCACACAUUUACUACAAGGUCUCGUUUCUUUCAUUACGGUUGCCGUACAGUCUCUAUACAUAUGAGCAAGCCGUCCUUGCCUUGCGUCGUCCACUCGUAAGCCCUUCGGCAGCGCGAGAAUAAUGACAGUAGAAGCUUUGUCUAUCACUGUCGUACUCAAUCUUUAUUCUAUGCUUGCAUUUUAUACACGAUUUCUACUGUCCCUUUCUCUUUCUACGUCUUCUUGCCUCUUCCCCGGAAUGUACCCUCUUUUGUUGAAAACAAACAUUCCCUCUCCCUUUUUGAAUUUGGCGCGCACAAUGAAAUUCUAGUGCGGCAAGACGGCCUGGCCAGCCUUGCACGUCGUAGCUACGGGACAUAGCUGAUAGCGGCACAGCGAGCAUCGAUAUAUCGCUUCUCCAUAUUGCGUCUUUACUGUGCUCAUUCGAAGCUAGACUAAACUGAAUUGAAUCGGUUGAUUGAGAUUGUCUGCGGCUUACCCUCGACGGGGAGUAAGGGUUAUGCGGAAGGGGGGGAGAGGUGGCUGGGUGACUAGCUGGCAAGCCACCUUCUUUUUCUAACGGACGUUGCAGUGUGGUGUAUUGCCUAAAGAGACGGAGAGUACACUGUUUCAGGCACUCCCGAAGGCCAGGCUGGGGUGGCCUGUGCGCAAAAGACCAACCGGCCGGCCGGCCGCUUCUAUCAGGCUAAGGUGCCGAUCCCUUCCUCCUUUCGGGCGAGGAGUGCAUGGUGCCGCUGCUGCUCCUGGGCCUUGGCAGCAGCAGCAGCAGCAGAAAUUGCAGCCGCAGUUGCCGCUAGUCCUGCUGUUUGCCACUACCAUCCGUCCGAGUCGAGACGUCUUUACAGAAAACGAGCGCUGCCGAGAAGACACAGAGUGUAGCUACUUCCAGUGUCGUCGCUACCCCCUGCAGUCUAAAGAGCCUUUGAGAACGCUUCAACAAGUGUCCACCCCACAAAAAAGUGCUGCUACGGCAACUUCGGUUGUUCACUGAUUCGUAGGGUUUAUCGUGCAAUUGGGUGGCGGCGACGGAUGAAACGAAUCAUUAAAGGUAGAAAGCGUAGAAGAAGAACGAAAAUAAAGGCUGAAUAAAGAAACGAGUCAGUCAGGCGGCGUUUUAGCAAGAGCUUUGCGAUUUACUGCUGAAAUUGCAUCAAUAACCUCUGAAGAUCAAAGAAAGAGUGGGCGCUUGAUAAGACUCAAGGAGUCGAGUGGCGCGUAUCGUUGUUAAGAGGUCGUAUGUGCAAUUCACGUUAGAUACUGUUCGUAUUAUGCUAGAUAAACAUUUUCACACCGUCGGAGAGAAGGAAUCGCUGUGUGAUCGUCGCCGUAUCUAUAGAAAAAAAAGUUAAACGAAGUGGUGCUUUUUAGUCGCCAUUCACACGCCAAAGUAGAUUCCGUCAUUUUGCAGUCUUGAGGUCGGGUGCAUUAGCCGAGCGUAAACAGUUGGCAACAUUGUCGCAAGUAUUUAAAUUGAUUCAUUUAAACUCUGACAAUAAUGCGACACUUCGUGAUAUCAGUUCUAUUGAUAUUUACUGGCGCAGUAUCUCAAGAUCACUUUAGUCUCUGGGUUCUCUAUACAUCGUAAGUAUAUAUUGAAGUGGGCACUGUCACCAAUCAAUUCGUCGGCCGUUAAUGAAUCAGCGAGCCAUUAACAGUUGUACUUCGCACAAAAACACCAAGGCCAAAGCUGCUUGGCUCGCGAUAUGCUUCUACAUACACAAAAAACAGUCAUAGGCAAGUACGUUAUUACAAAUUAUCCCAUGCACCGCAUGUUUCCAUUUGACCAGACGUACAGAGGCAGAGUUUAGGAGGGAAUCACCACGUACGAGUGUUCGUUAGCGAUUGCCAUAAGGGCCUGAAUCGGACAGGUCUGGCCAUCUGUUGAUAUGGAAAACGAGUAACUUCCAUGGCAGCAAUAGUAAGUGAUACUGCUUUUAAUAACAGAAACUCGUUACCAAGUGGGAACGUGUCACAUUUGCAUUUCCACUUUGAAACAUACCAACAAGUUGGAACAAGCCGAGAUAGUGCUGUCUAGAAAUAGUAAGCGUCUUUUGAUGAAAAAAUAAAGUCCAGUUCCGAUCGGUAGAUAAAUAACGGUGGUUGUUGGUACAUGCGUCCUUGUGUUAGAUCGAGUAAAUGGUGACGUUUUGGAGUCUCGAUUCAAAAGCGCACUUCUAUUAAUCGGUGCUUUAUUGAAACAAGUCCUGGCGUUUCCCACUUCGAAUGCACUGUGAGAUCAGGAAAGCCGGCAAUCACAUUGGUCAGCCAUGCAAUACAGAAAGUUUCGUGUUUAAUUGGUCGUGCAUUUUAUAACGCGGAGACCCGUCCUGCGGCGUCGAGAACGAUCGCGUCGAAGUGAAACCAAAAACGCCCCGUCAUCACCCGCUGACGUGAAAUUUGCUUUGAGGCAAACGUUAUAGGCCGAUCCAGCCAGCUGUGCUUAAAGCGCGACAUCAGCUUAGCGAUUGGUUUUCUCCAGACGUGUAAUCAGUGUACAGAUUCGUGCUGUUGCUUUUCGGUAAAAAUUUUCAGAGAGCGAAAGGGAAGGGCAGCAUUGUAUCAUCCGGCACUUAUCUGAAGUGCAGCGUCGGCGUAGCGCCAAUUACGAUGAAGACGACGACGGCGGCGGCAUCAACCACAAAUGCGUGCUACCAGUAACGGCAGUCGUAACCUCAGUCGUUAUCGAGGUGCGCCGGUGGAUACGUAGUAAACAUCAAAGUAUUGUUUACAGAAUUAGUAGCGACAGUAAAAAAUCAAGCCAUUCAUAUUGUCUAUGCAAAAGGAAGUUGGCACCGUUUAAGGAUACAUAUACCGUAAUCUAUGUAUGACUAAAGAUUCUACUAAACUCCUCGUUUGAUAUUAAUGUGUGAUUAAUUGGAUCAAGCGGAAGUUUUUAUCAGCGCUCAUUGAAGCCGGAUUGUUAUUUUGGAUCGUGCGCGCUUUAACGUCGCCUGAGGUUACACGCCAGCGGCGGUAGCUGAGUAAUUGAUCCUGUGUAGUGGGGACUCCGCGCGCGUUAUCUCGAAAAAUUGUCAACAGUACUUGUGAUAAUCACGAAUUUUGGCGGCCAACAAACAUCACACAACUGUAACAACGCCAACAUCAUCAACAGGUCUUCACGUAAGCACGGAUCCGACAUAGGAACGCCAUCGCGAUGAAACGCUUUGGACAUCACAACGAUAACCAUCACAAUAAUCAUCACGACAAUGCCAUCCAUAAGGAAUUUCCAGAACAGGCAAAUAUUGAGAGUCCUCAGGAUGACGUCGUUGCUGAUCUACCGUGCAGUCCAGCAGUGGUUCGUAAGUCGAAAUUUCCGUACAACCCAUUACGGGGUGCAAGACACUCGUUUUCUAUCGAUUACGGUGAUGUCCUUCCUGUGCACAGAGGAAACAGAAAACCACAUGCGGCUUUAACGGGUGCUCCCAUGGGAAGGACACCGAGCAACGGGCAGCCAGACAAAGCGCAAUAUCGGGUGGUGUUUUUGGGAGCUGCCAAGGUUGGCAAAUCGGCCAUCAUUCAUCAGUUUCUCUAUGAGAAGUUCCUGCACGACUAUAGCGCCACUGUCGAGGAGUUCCACAGGGGCGAAUACGACGUGGGCCUGGAAAGCAAAGUCUCUCUCGACAUACUCGACACGGGAGGCAGCUGCGAAUUUCCUGCAAUGAAAAGACUUGCCAUAGGCUCAGGCGACGCCUUUGUGCUGGUAUAUUCUGUAGACAACGAAAGCUCAUAUGACGCGGUCCGGACACUUCGAGAUGACAUUUUACAACUGAGGCAAGGGGAUAAAACGCCUCCUCCAAUAGUCGUUGUGGCCAACAAGACCGAUCUCCCGAGCGGCCAGCACGUCGAAAGUGUGGCGCCUUCGAUGGUGGAACCCGUUGUCUGCUUGGACUGGGAACACGCGUUCGUCGAGUGCUCAGCUAAAGAUAAUGCUGAUGUUGUCAGGGUCUUUCAGGAGUUGCUGGUACUUUCUCCCUUAAAGAAACAGACACCGCCUGCACGUCAAGCAGGUUUUCGUCGAAUGUCUCUUCCAGUCACAUCGCUGUCAGACCAGCUCGGAUCGCUAGGUCUGACGAAAAGUCCCGGCCAUAAAAAGAAACGUGACAGUUGUCACGUCUCGUAAACGUGCCGCUAACGAAUAUGGGUAUCUUUGUAUACAAUGAUUCUCAUCCUAUUUAAAGAGCCUAAACGUUUUGAAUGUUGGAUGUAGGAUAGACCGUAAAGUCAAUAGCGAGAUACAAAAGAAUACGGUAAGAAUAACGAGUAAAUAGUAAAAGCAGAAACCUCAUCAAGCGACGUUCAACGUCAAUCUUCAAUGUAUGUUCGUUUUCAACAGACGGAAGUCGUUGAGUGCGGAUGGAAAUGUUGAAGAAAAAUGAGUAGGCUUAAGUACCCAUUAAGCUUUCCAUUAAAAGACGAUCGACCUGUAACAUUGUACAAUUAUGCACUUUGUUAGCGUCGAUGAUGGCGAAGUUGAUCUCGAAGAUGGAAAGCGACAUCAAUGAAUGACAUCAAUAAUUAAUAACAGUGACAAGUAGAUGAUGUAAGUAGAGAUACAAACAAUGGAAAUGAUCAUAGAUAAUAACAGUAAUAAUAACAAUACAUAAGGAAAUAGAGGAAUAGAGAAACAUCCAGCACUACACCUUCAACCAAAACUAUCUAUUGCUGACAAUGCAAGAAUUCACGCACGGGUCCUUAAAAGGAUCCAUUUUUUUGGAAAAAGAUACUUGCUACUAUCGAUAACCAAGCCAUCUGUCGCGAUUUUCCAACGCUUAUGUAGGCCGCUCAAGUAGUAUGAAAAAAGCCAUAAAAAAAUAAAUACUUAGCCACUAAUGUUAUGCCUUUGUCAAGCUUGUCAUGCCUAUGAAGGCCGUGCACGUCUCCCGGCCAGAAUCUCUAUUUAGAGACGAGAAUGAAGUAAGUCAACGUCAUUAUGUCGUAACGACUUAGCCAAGCUUACCAUGCAUAUACACAAAGGUACGUUACGUUACAAAUACUGCUAAACCCGUCAUUGAAUCAAUUAACAAUAACCAACCAGUGAACCUAUAAAGCUGAGCCACCCUUGCUACCCGCCUAAUGGAUUUAUCGCCGUUCAUCAGCAAUGUACACAGACAUAUACGAUGAAGCGUCGCGAUAGAACUCAAGACGGAUAAUCCAGCCAGUCACUGAUAAUCUCCUGACCUCUCACCAACGCGAAGACACGCACGUAGAAGGGUGACCACCAAUGACAGCAAUUAAAGGAAACCUUACCAGUAUGAUUUCCGUUUCAAAAUCCGAAACAGCUUAACAGAUGGUAGCCUGGAUAUUCGUUAUAAUCAUUGGUAACGUGGGACUCCACAAGGUAAUUGUUAACGCUUCUCAAUCAACCUACGAAAGGUCCUGUAAAAAAAAAAUGGCAAGAAUCAUAUAACCGAGUUUUUUUGUUGCAUUUUUUUAAUGUGAUAACUUAAGUAGUCAAUUUCAUAAAAGUGAAGAACGCUGUCUUCCCAGUUGCUAAUCAGCUGCUACAGUUAUUUUGUAGCACUAUGUAAAAAAUUUUUGCUUAACACCAAUAGUCGCCUGUCGCCCGUUUAUGUAUUGUAAUGGCCUGUAACAGCUUAUAUAACCAAACAGUAGAGGCUCGCAGAGACAGCCAAGCUGGUGGUAGCGCCGCAAAGCUGCCCUUAACCCGCAACACCAGGUAGCGCAUAGUUGUGAAGCCUUUCCGUAGCAGUUCAAUACCUUUGAAAGUACUUUUUGAAGAAAAGCUCCUUAACUUCAAACAAAUGUCACUGUUUCUUGUCGACAAACCUUCACAAUUUGAGGAACCUUCGGAGACUUUCGCACUCUUGCUGAUUGUUUAUAGACCUGGCGGGUCCUAUAGGCGUGUCUCGUAAAUUACUACAUAGUCGUUCACGGUACGCCUUUGAGGACUUAAUGAGAAGCUUAAGUGCAGCCGAAAUCUGGGUCGUUUCGUUAUAUAUAGUGUUAACUAAAUAGUUAUCGAACAGAUACGUAUUGGCGCGGGAUUGAAGAAGCAAGGGCAUAAACACAACAGCCGUCUCUGCCGAAGUUGUCCGUUGACUACGAGUCUCAUGGAAGCUCCCAGAAAAAUGAUCACAACACUAGUAACAAUUAUUAGGAUAAACAAUACUGCUUUACACGAACGAAAUACUACGAUUACAUUUAUGUGCAUCGUUUUAUUACAUCGGUAACAAAUUGCAUAUGGCCUAUAAUAAAUUUCCGAAACAAGAAACGUCCAUGUAAACGUUUCUAACCGACAUCGUAUGCAAUAAACAGUAGAGUUUCUUCCGCCACUGAAGCUGUCCAAAAAAAAAAAUCAAAUUUUAAAUUUCCAUUUAUCUAUGUACGCCAUAUAUAUAUAUACAUGUAUGGCGAGAGAGGUAAAAAACAGAAGAGGUUACUAUGAAGCAGAGAAAAAAAAGCAGCUGAUAUGAAUGACUUGCAUAAUAACUCUGAAGUCACGUUCGUAUGCCGGUAACGAUCAGGUUCGUUUGUAAAAAUCGCAAACCUUAUGAUGACAAGGGCGACGCUUAUAAUAGUGAAUAGAAUAGUGAUUUUGGCAGUGAAUAGCGGCGAUAUGUGUAUAUGCUUUAUAUAUGCAUAUAGCCUUUGAUCUAUAGGCAUUAAUGGACAAGCGAAAGUCGUACAGCCUGACCCAUUGCCCGCUCACGGGCGCAGGACCGGGGAGACUAAACCCGUGUCCGACGCCCCUUUUAUUUCCACGUUGCUUGUCCGUUAUGACACUGAGUGCUUGGAUUAGCAAAGUGGUUAUUAGUAUUAUUAUACUUCUUGAUUAUCGUGUGGAAUGAUUAUGUCAGCGGUGAUCUGUAUUCAUAUUAACAAACUCGUAUUAUUACUUCAAGUAAAUGGAAUUGGUUAUGGACUCGAUUGCAGCCUGUUGCUGAUGUUGCUAUGGCAAUAAACUCUUUUACA